rnacentral:misc_RNA from 1 species
AUGUUGACGAAGACCUCCGAACUGAGGGUUCGAUCAGUAGAGGGGACGACUUAGCCUCCCCGGAAGAAGAAUAGCCCCGCUCUCUAGCCGACUGAUGCCGUUGAUCAUAUAACUGAGAGGGAACGUGUCACNNGAUCAGAGAUGUCCUAUAAUCACCACGAUGAGGCCGGUCCCUCUUUUAGUAGACUCAGCUAUGAAUAUGAAUGAAGAAAUGAAUGCCGGGCUCUUUCUUUCACUGCUAACCCC